rnacentral:lncRNA from 1 species
AUUUCCGUAGGAGCGAAGUCGAAUGGCGCCCCCAGCGGCUUGGGGUGGGAUCUCAGUGCCUCAUUCCUGGCGGCCCCGGGAGGGCGAUGCCAAGUUUCGCUCUUGUUCCCUGGGCUGCAGUGCAGUGGCACCAUCUCGGCUCACCGCAACCUCCGCCUCCCAAGUUCAAGCGAUUCUCCUGCCUCAGCCUCCCCAGUAUCUGGGAUUACAGGUAUGCGCCACCACGCCCGGCUAAUUUUGUAUUUUUAGUAGAGACGGGGUUUCUCCAUGUUGGUCAGGCUGGUCUUGAACUCCCGACCUCAGGUGAUUCUCCCGCCUCGGCCUCCCAAAGUACUGGGAUUACAGGCGUGAGCCACUGCGCCUGGCCUACUAAUACUAGGUUUUAUUCCGGGCCCUUCACAGUUAAUGUUGGAGGCCUCUGGAGGAUGGCCACACCUGGGCUAUUUGCAGAAGCCUGGACAGCACAGCAGGCAGAGUUAAAGCAGUUAAGGCAGUAUCAGCUGAAGGGCCACCCAGCUGUGCGUGUGCCCAGGCUCCAAGAAUAAGGAGGUUGGGGGGCAGUCCUAAGAAAGGAAGUCAUUACCUAUCGGCAACCCAGGAGCAGACGCUGGCAUAACGGCGCACACACAGUAAAGGUCAGAGGUUCUUCUUAGAAUAGUCCUUAGGUGUUAGUCAAACCCAUGCCCUGCCCCAAGGAGUUCAUUCAUUCAUUCACUCAUUCAUUCACUCACUCACUCACUGGUUCUGUUUAUUCACUCAUUUCUCUAUCACAUAUCCAUUUAUUGUCAUUCACCCACUUAUUUACUCAUACAUUCAUUCAUUUGCUCAUCAAUUUAUUUGGUACCUACAUGGAGCCAGGUACAGGUCUUGAUUAAAGAGAUCUGGGGAGGAGUGCUCCCAAGAAGUUCAGAGCCUCACUGGUGAAGGAAAGCCAUGUAAAGACAGAUCUUGAGAACCCAAGAUCAUCAAGGAGUAUCCAUGAUCAAGCAGAGCAGGGAAGGCUUUUUGCUUUGUUUUGUUUUGUUUUUAACAUGCUGUGUGGUUCAGUAAAAUUAAAACAGGCACAAUGAUAUCCUGGAUGACAAGAGCUGGAGGCUGUCAUUCUAACAAUGUAGUGAGACUGGCUGUCUUGUCUCAUGCCCACCCCUGGAAACAUGCGCAGGAACUCAAAGCACCUAGCACAGAGGAAGUGUCUGGUUGUUUUAAAGGAAAAACAAAACCAAAAAAAGCACCUCCUGCUCUGACCACCCCUAUUUCCAGUUUUCCCUUUUGGCACAGCAAAGAUGACCUUGGGACUGAGGUGGAACCAUGUAAUUCUUCGUAAUCCCAGAGUCAGGCAGACCUGGGUAUGAAUUCCAUCUUUACUAACUGUGUGACUCACUGUGUGGCCAUGCCAAGUUACGAGGUCUCUCUGUUUCCUCCUUCCUAAAAAGGAGAUAACAUCCAUCUCGAAGGAAGAUCUGGCCUGAAGAGCAGUCACUCUUGCCUGGCAUGCAGAGAAUGCCAAAUCAUAUUAAUGACUGGCCAGAAUGAAGUGCGUGACCUCAUCACUCCAUAACUGACAGGAAACAACUGCUAGGGCAAGAAAAAAGGGUCUCCAGUGAGUAUUCUUGUCCACACACAUCCCCACUCACGUUCCUGGACCACUGCAUCUAACUGCCGCAGCAGCUAAUGAACCUUCUGGAAUAAAGGACCAGUUUCUUAAGAAGGGAUUGAGACCUCCAGUGGCCUCCCACAUUGUUUCCGGCAAGAAUUUAAAAAUUAUUUGUAACAUAUAGUAAUAAAAACUAACCACAGGCUGGGCGCAGUGGCUCACGCCUGUAAUCCCAGCACUUUGGGAGGCUGAGGCAGGUGGAUCACCUGAGGUCAGGAGUUCGAGACCAGCCUGACCAAUAUGGUGAAACCCUGUUUCUCCUAAAAAUACAAAAAUUAGCUGGGCAUGGUGGUGGGCGCCUGUAAUCUCAGCUACUCAGGAGGCUGAAACAGGAGAACUGCUUGAAUCUGGGAGGUAGAUGUUGCAGUGAGCCGAUAUCGCGCCAUUGCACUCCAGCCUGGGCAAUGACUCCGUCUC